rnacentral:rRNA from 1 species
GAUGAACGCUGACAGAAUGCUUAACACAUGCAAGUCAACUUGAACUUCGGUUUGGGUGGCGGACGGGUGAGUAACGCGUAAAGAACUUGCCUCACAGCUAGGGACAACAUUUUGAAACGAAUGCUAAUACCUGAUAUUAUGAUUUUAGGGCAUCCUAGAAUUAUGAAAGCUAUAUGCGCUGUGAGAGAGCUUUUCGUCCCAUUAGCUAGUUGGAGAGGUAACGGCUCACCAAGGCGAUGAUGGGUAGCCGGCCUGAGAGGGUGAACGGCCACAAGGGGAAUGGGAAACGGCCCUUACGCGUACGGGAGGCAGCAGUGGGGAAUAUUGGACAAGGGACCAAGAGUCUGAUCAAGCAAUUCUGUGUGCAAGAUGAAGUUUUUCGGAAUGUAAAGUGCUUUCAGUUGGGAAGAAAAAAAUGACGGUACCAACAGAAGAAGUGACGGCUAAAUACGUG